rnacentral:tRNA from 1 species
AUGGCUGUGGCUCUGUUGGUAGAGUGCUUGCCUGGAAUUCAUGAAGCCCUGGGUUCCAUUCCCAGAGCCACA